GGCCCAAUGGUCUAGAAGUAUGAUACUCCCUUCGGGUUUCACCCGCUUGCGUUGUGUAAGCUGCAUGGGAGUGGUCCCGGGUUCAAUUCCCGGUUGAGCCC